UACGGAGGGUGCAAGCAUUAAUCGGAUUUAUUGGGCGUAAAGGGCGCGUAGGCGGAGAUAUAAGUCAGAUGUGAAAUCCUGGGGCUCAACCUCAGAACUGCAUUUGAAACUGUAUCCCUAGAGGGUAGGAGGAGAAAACGGAAUUCCACAAGUAGCGGUGAAAUGCGUAGAUAUGUGGAAGAACACCGGUGGCGAAGGCGGUUUUCUAUCUUAUUCCUGACGCUGAGGCGCGAAAGCAAGGGGAUCAAACAGG
rnacentral:rRNA from 1 species